GAGAAGGAUAGGAAGAAGAAAGUAGAGAACAAGAUCGAAAAGUGUCUAAAUCGUCGAAGAGAACGCAUCGAUGAUGGGAUAUAUUAUGGGCUGCACGUGUUUCAAAGGUACCACCCUCAUGCGACUCUUUCAAGGUACGUGUCAUACGAGUCUCUUGGAAUAUCGCAUGGCAUCCAUUUUCUUUUCUUAAAGCGUGGACUAAUGGAAGUAGUGUGGAAAUAGUUUGAUUGAUGUUGGAGACCGUGCAGCCUGCGAUGGAAAAGUUGUCCAUCUGUCAAUUAUAGUAUAGUAUAAAUCCUUUAAGGCAGUUGUUUACUUGAGAAUAAAAUUAUCGUGAGUUAUUCUUGAAAGUAUUUCUUGUUAGUGGAUACUGCGUUUGAGUAUAACUAUAUGAGAGCGUGAUUCAACUAUCCGGAAGCGAUUGCGUUGUAACAUGCUCUCAAAUGGAAACAAAGGAAUACUACUAUCGGAGAACUCUUAAAAGAUUCUCGAAGAAAUAAGAAUCUGUUUCGUAUUUUAAGAGUAGCUAUCAGAGAAUAGUAGCACAAAACUGUUUGCAGGAAAAGAAUGGAGGAAAUACGAUACCUUCUAAUUAACCAGUUGAAUGCGUUAGUCGUUAAUACAUGUCAGUCCGAAACUUUAUUUCGGUGCGGUUGAUGGAUAUACUCGUCGUGUAAAAUAAAAAAUUACCAUUUACUACAAAAAUUCCAAUUUCAGUAAGAAAUAAUAAAAAUGUUAUUUAGUGGUAUGUUCCCUUUAUAUUACCAAUAAAAUGUAUUUUAUAAAAAAAAAGUUUGAUUAUUCUCUUUGGUAUAUCGGUUAUUCUCAGUACAAUGUAUUGCUUUUCACAAACUGAAUUAAUUAUUUUCCCCCAAUGCAUUGAAUAUUCCCCGAAUUGUUUUAUGUACUUUACAGUGUAUAUUGGGUAUUUUCCAAUAACAAUUAAAAUAAUAUAAAUGAAAUGCACCAACUAUGAAGGCUUUUAAUAAUUUCUGAUUUGUUGCAAGAAGGUGAUAUUCAUAAGAUUCAAAAAAGUUUUGCUUGGAUUUUUACCUAUUUCCUCAGUUAUUAUCAAAAUAAAGUAGAAGGUAAAGUGGUACAAAAAUUAGCUAAAAAAAUUAGCUAAAAAAUUAUCUAAUUAUUUAUGAAUUUUAUUAUUUUUUGGCAAUUGUUAAGUUUUUUUACCCUGCAUUCGAAGUGUAUAUUCAUCAUUCCUUGAUUUUAAUUAUGUACGUAAGGGAUUUUUACAACUAAAUUCCGCAGUUAACUGGUUAAUAAUAAUAUAUGAAGUAAAUUCAAUAUUGAACUGAUAAAUGAAAAUAUUAUCUCACUCAAACCAUGCAUUGACAAUUAUUUCAAAACAAUUUUUUAAUUGUUGAAAUGGAAUGCAUUAUUUUAUAGAAAUCUGUGCAUUGAUGAUUUUUUAAUUAUAGCAAAAAAAAGAAUUACGUCACAUUAUAUUUUAAGGAUAAGGAAAUACUUGCCGAUGAUAUAGACUGUGCAUGUUCAAGUUUGUCAACAUUCACUGGUGAUUUUUCAGUUGCUUCCAGUUAGUCGUAGAUUAAUGAGAAUAGAUAAUAUCAGGCUGUUUCCAAAUCGAAUAACAUAGAACACAAAUACAUGUGGCUUCUAUGCAAUCCAUUUCGUACUACCCUAUAUGACAGCUAUUUAGUCAUUCGGUGCAUGUGUACCAGAGUAGAAGAGCAACUUCAGAGCUACAUACACAUUGUUAAUUAGUUGCCGGCGACCUUAGAUUUAAUGGAUUAUAUAAAUAUGUAUCUACUCAGUCGUGAUGAGUAUGAAAACUCAAGUGAUGAACGGGCAACUUGUUUGGUUGCCAAAUUUAAUGAUUAUAUUUAAUCGCCUGGUUUUUUGCUCGUUCGUCGAUCUGAUCGACCAUUUAGCCUUAAGUGAUCAAAUUAUUUAAUCACCUAUCAUAAAAGUUGUAAGUACGCAGCUAGGGUGACGUUUUUUAUCCUAAAACAAACAGUAGAAUAGAUGGACGUAGACAGGCAUAGACGAAUCUUCAAUGGGCAUUGUUCUGAGAGUUCUAUCUAAUAGUAAAUUCUCAUGUUAGAGGCUAUCUGAGAGUAAAAAUUCUCGAAAUUACUCUCAAAUGGAUACAAAAUUUAAAAGUACUCUCAAAAGCAACUAUUGUAAGAAACUCUUCAAUGAACGGUUGCUUUCGUUAAGAUGCCGAUUAUCUCAUAAACGAUGCAUAGUAGCAAUCUUUUACUACAUAUGAUUUUGAUUGCUAAUAUUAGAUACUUAGUAUAUAAAUGUGUAACAAAAUUAUAGAUAUCCAUUUAAAAAGACUAUAUAAACUUUCAUAACUCAAGAAGAUCACGAGUAAAAAAAAAUGUUUACAUGCUCUUUGUAGUUGACUCAAAGCCGUGUAAAUUUUCCGUAAUAAACUUCUAACUUCAAUCAAUCGCAAAAAAUUUGUUCGGGCAUAUAUGGAUUAUAUAUAGAGAGAAAUAAAGAAAAAACAUGUAAAAGAAAAACAAAAACAUUAAAUAGCGUGUUAAUAAUUGAUUCAUGUUUAUUUUAUUAAUAUCUCAAAUGAUUUUGUAGUUGCAUAACGAAAUAACGAAAUAUUUUCGACCCCAUGUGGUCAGAUAAUAAAUGUUUGUCUUGACUUUCCUAAUCACCCCUCACAUAUGAUAGUUUAUUGAUUUUUGAAACAGUAUAUAUAUAUUUAUUUAUUUAUUUUUAUUUUUAGUUAUAAUGUUCUUUUUCUAUCUUUUUUUUUAUUUUAUUGCUAUAUUUGUCUCUUUUCCUUUAAAUGAAGAAAUCGAAAACGAGAUGGGAACGCUUCUGAGUUUCAUUUUAAUUGAAAUGGAACAUCGAGUGAUUCAGUAUUUUUUUUUUUUUUUCCUAACGUAACCAUCAACUCAAGUUUUUUCUGGAAAAAUCAGAUCUCUAAAGAGAUUCAUUUUUAUAAUCCUUAUAUCGAACAUCAAAUAACAUUUUAUAAAUUUUUAGGUUUCUCCGUGAAAUUUAUUGGUUAGACCAGAAAAAUGUUAACAUUUUAAUCAAUGGUUCGAAAUUCAUUUGUUUGAUAUCUCCCAUUUUAAUCUCUCCAGUGAAAUAAUUCAUUAUGAAGCGUUACUUGCUAAUGAAAAUUCUAACAUUAUAUAUUACUUGGAAUUCAAAACAAAAAUAUCUAAUUAUCGAAGUAUCAUUGUAGAAUUGAAUUGGAAAGAGCAAUUACACUGUAAUAAUAUUUCGAGUCAGAUAGAAUAUGUAUGAAGAAACGUUACAAUCUCGUGCUCGGAGACGGUACAGACAGUAACUGCUGCUGUUACUUCUACUAUUCAGUAGCUUUAUAUUAAUCUUUGGCUGCUAGAUUAUAGAAUCAGAUCGGUGGUAUCUACGUAUUAAUGGAAUUAACCCAUUAUAACGCCAUAUAACUUUGAAGUUAUACACUUAUAUAUAUAUAUAUAUUGCAAAAUUAAUAGCUAAUUGUAAAUAGAGAUGGCACUUAGAAUAGUAUAGUUUAAUAUAAUAUAACUGCAGCUAUAUUAUUGUAAGUUGUAUAGUAUAUCUAUAACUCUACUAACUAUACUAUUAUAAGAUAUGUAGCUAUAAUAUAUAGCUAAAUAUUAUUAUAAAUUUUAUUUAGUGUCAUAUAGUUAUACCAGUAUAAACUGUAUUUACAAUUAGUAGAAGAUAUAUUAGUUAUACUAGUAUUAAAGUUGUUUUACAUUGU